rnacentral:rRNA from 1 species
UCCUACGGGAGGGCAGCACAAUGGGCGAAAGCCUGAUCCAGCCAUNCCGCGUGUGUGAAGAAGGCCUUCGGGUUGUAAAGCACUUUCAGCGAGGAAGAACGCCUUGGGAUUAAUACUCCCGAGGAAAGACAUCACUCGCAGAAGAAGCACCGGCUAACUCCGUGCCAGCAGCCGCGGUAAUACGGAGGGUGCAAGCGUUAAUCGGAAUUACUGGGCGUAAAGCGCGCGUAGGUGGCUAAGUCAGCCAGGUGUGAAAGCCCCGGGCUCAACCUGGGAACGGCAUCUGGAACUGCUUGGCUAGAGUGCAGGAGAGNAAAAUAGAAUUCCCGGUGUAGCGGUGAAAUGCGUAGAGAUCGGGAGGAAUACCAGUGGCGAAGGCGGCCUUCUGGACUGACACUGACACUGAGGUGCGAAAGCGUGGGUGCAAACAGGAUUAGAUACCCUGGUNGUCCACGCCGUAACGAUUNUCAACNUGCCG